CAGUAGCCACGGUAAAACGGAGGGAGCUAGCGUUGUUCGGAAUUAUUGGGCGUAAAGGGCUCGCAGGCGGUUUCUUAAGUCUGAUGUGAAAGCCCCCGGCUCAACCGGGGAGGGUCAUUGGAAACUGGGAAACUUGAGUGCAGAAGAGGAGAGUGGAAUUCCACGUGUAGCGGUGAAAUGCGUAGAGAUGUGGAGGAACACCAGUGGCGAGGGCGACUCUCUGGUCUGUAACUGACGCUGAGGAGCGAAAGCGUGGGGAGCGAACAGGAUUAGAUACCCCAGUAGUCCCUGUCUCUUAUAC
rnacentral:rRNA from 1 species